rnacentral:tRNA from 1 species
GGGGAUGUAGCUCAGCUGCCAGGGUGCUUGCCUUGUGUGCAAGAGGCCCUGGAUUCAAUCCCCAGAAUUUCAU